UACGGGGGGGGCAAGCGUUGUUCGGAAUUACUGGGCGUAAAGGGCUCGUAGGCGGCCAACUAAGUCAGAUGUGAAAUCCCUCAGCUUAACUGGGGAACUGCGUCUGAUACUGGAUGGCUUGAGUUCGGGAGAGGGAUGCGGAAUUCCAGGUGUAGCGGUGAAAUGCGUAGAUAUCUGGAGGAACACCGGUGGCGAAGGCGGCAUCCUGGACCGACACUGACGCUGAGGAGCGAAAGCCAGGGGAGCAAACGGG
rnacentral:rRNA from 1 species